UACGUAGGUGGCAAGCGUUGUCCGGAAUUAUUGGGCGUAAAGCGCGCGCAGGCGGUCCUUUAAGUCUGAUGUGAAAGCCCACGGCUCAACCGUGGAAGGUCAUUGGAAACUGGGGGACUUGAGUGCAGAAGAGGAAAGUGGAAUUCCAAGUGUAGCGGUGAAAUGCGUAGAGAUCCGGAAGAACACCGGUGGCGAAGGCGGCCUGGCUGGGCAGUUGCUGACACUGAGGCGCGACAGCGUGGGGAGCAAACAGG
rnacentral:rRNA from 1 species